rnacentral:rRNA from 1 species
AAUACCGGAUAGGGAAACCCAACUGGAAUGUGGGCUUCUUCAAACGCAAGGACUAAGGAUGAGUCGGCGGCGGAUUAGGUUGUUGGCGAGGUAAUGGCUCACCAAGCCGAAGAUCCGUAGGGGCCUUGAGAGAGGUAGCCCCGAGAAGGGCACUGAGAUACUGGCCCUAGCUCCACGGAGUGCAGCAGGCGCGAAACCUUUACAAUGCGCGGAAGCGUGAUAAGGGAAUCCUAAGUGGUGAUGCAAUGCAUCAUCUUUUGCCAAGAGCAAAUAUCUUGGCGAAUAAGUGGUGGGCAAUACCUGUGCCAGCCGCCGCGGUAACCCAGGAGCCACAAGUGGCAACCACCUUUAUUGGGCCUAAAGCGUCCGUAGCCGGUUUUGUAAAUUUUCUGUGAAAUCGUUGCGCUUAACGUAACGACGUGCAGAAAAAACUGCAAGACUCGGGACCGGGAGGAGUCAGAGGUAUUUGAGGGGGAGCGGUAAAAUGCUAUAAUCCCUCAAGGACCACCUGUGGCGAAGGCGUCUGACUAGAACGGAUCCGACGGUGAGGGACGAAAGCUAGGGGAGCAAUCCGGAUUAGAUACAACCUUUUUCUCUACGAGAAAAAGCUUGACCA